rnacentral:rRNA from 1 species
UGAAUACGAGACGCUACGGCGUUGAAGCAGUCUAUGUCAUACUUCCAAGAAAAGCUCGCAAUGUCAUAAACAAAUAAUGCCUGUACCAUAACCGACACAGGUGGGUAGGUAGAGUAUACUAAGGGGCGCGAGAUAACUCUCUCUAAGGAACUCGGCAAAAUGACUCCGUAACUUCGGGAGAAGGAGUGCCUUAUUUAUAAGGUUGCAAUAACAAGAUCCAAGCAACUGUUUAUCAAAAACACAGGUCUCCGCUAAGUCGUAAGACGAUGUAUGGGGGCUGACGCCUGCCCAGUGCCAGAAGGUUAAAGAAGUUGGUUAGCAUUCGCGAAGCUGAUAACUGAAGCCCUGGUGAACGGCGGCCGUAACGAUAACGGUCCUAAGGUAGCGAAAUUCCUUGUCGGGUAAGUUCCGACCCGCACGAAAGGCGUAAUGAUUUGGAUACUGUCUCGGAGAGGGGCUCGGUGAAAUAGACUUGUCUGUGAAGAUGCGGACUACCUGCACCUGGACAGAAAGACCCUAUGAAGCUUUACUGUAACCUGAAAUUGAAAUUGGACUUUAUUUGCGCAGUAUAGGUGGGAGGCGUUGAGAGUAUUCUUGCGGGAAUAUUGGAGCCAUCAGUGAGAUACCACUCUUGUAAUGUUAGAUUUCUAACUUUGUAUCAUGAUCUGGUCAAAGAACAGUUUCAGGCGGGCAGUUUGACUGGGGCGGUCGCCUCCCAAACGGUAACGGAGGCGUACAAAGGUUUCCUCUGAACGGGUAGAAAUCGUAUCUAGAGUGUAAAGGCAUAAGGAAGCUUGACUGUGAGACCUACAAGUCGAGCAGGGACGAAAGUCGGUCUUAGUGAUCUGACGGUGCUGAGUGGAAAGGCCGUCACUCAACGGAUAAAAGUUACUCUAAGGAUAACAGGCUGAUCUCCCCCAAGAGUUCACAUCGACGGGGAGGUUUGGCACCUCGAUGUCGGCUCAUCGCAUCCUGGGGCGGUAGUACGUCCCAAGGGUUGGGCUGUUCGCCCAUGAAAGCGGUACGCGAGCUGGGUUCAGAACGUCGUGAGACAGUUCGGUCCAUAUCCGGUGUAGGCGUUAGAAUAUUGAGAGGAGCCUUCUUUAGUACGAGAGGACCGAGAAGGACAUACCUCUGGUGUACCAGUUAUCGUGCCAACGGUAAACGCUGGGUAGCUAUGUAUGGAGAGGAUAACCGCUGAAAGCAUCUAAGUGGGAAGCCCACCUCAAGAUAAG